GCCGGGGUGGCGUAGUUGGUGGCGCGUCGGACUCAUAAUCCGAAGGUCACGGGUUCGAGCCCCGUUCCCGGCA
rnacentral:tRNA from 2 species